GACGUAGGUUGCAAGCGUUAUCCGGAAUUAUUGGGCGUAAAGCGUUCGUAGGUGGUUUGUUAAGUUGGAUGUUAAAGCCUUGAGCUUAACUCAAGUCAUGUAUUCAAAACUGGCAAACUAGAGACAGGUAGAGGUAAGUAGAAUUCUGUAUGUAGGGGUAAUAUCCGUAGAUAUACAGAGGAAUACCAAAAGCGAAGGCAGCUUACUGGACCUGUUCUGACACUCAGGAACGAAAGCGUGGGGAGCAAACGGG
rnacentral:rRNA from 1 species